rnacentral:rRNA from 1 species
CCUACGGGAGGCAGCAGUGAGGAAUAUUGGUCAAUGGUCGUUAGACUGAACCAGCCAAGUAGCGUGCAGGAUGACGGCCCUAUGGGUUGUAAACUUCUUUUAUGCGGGGAUAAAGUGCAGCACGUAUACUGCUUUGCAUGUACCUCAUGAAUAAGGAUCGGCUAAUUCCGUGCCAGCAGCCGCGGUAAUACGGAGGAUCCGAGCGUUAUCCGGAUUUAUUGGGUUUAAAGGGAGCGUAGGCGGGAUGUUAAGCGUGCUGUGAAAUGUCGCGGCUCAACCGUAGCAUUGCAGUUGGAACUGGCAUCCUUGAGUGCAGGAGAGGUAUGCGGAAUUCGUGGUGUAGCGGUGAAAUGCUUAGAUAUCACGAAGAACUCCGAUUGCGAAGGCAGCCUGCUGGACUGCUACUGACGCUGAUGCUCGAAGGUGUGGGUAUCGAACAGGAUUAGAUACCCUAGUAGUC